CAGCCGCCGCGGGAAUACGAAGGGGGCUAGCGUUGUUCGGAAUUACUGGGCGUAAAGCGCACGUAGGCGGAUAUUUAAGUCAGGGGUGAAAUCCCGCAGCUCAACUGCGGAACUGCCUUUGAUACUGGGUAUCUUGAGUAUGGAAGAGGUUAGUGGAAUUGCGAGUGUAGAGGUGAAAUUCGUAGAUAUUCGCAGGAACACCAGUGGCGAAGGCGGCUAACUGGUCCAUAACUGACGCUGAGGUGCGAAAGCGUGGGGAGCAAACAGGAUUAGAUACCCGAGUAGUCCCUGUCUCUUAUAC
rnacentral:rRNA from 1 species